rnacentral:rRNA from 1 species
UACGUAGGGGGCAAGCGUUGUCCGGAUUUAUUGGGCGUAAAGAGCGUGUAGGCGGCCAUGUAGGUCCGUUGUGAAAACUCGAGGCUCAACCUCGAGACGCCGAUGGAAACCAUGUGGCUAGAGUCCGGAAGAGGCAAGUGGAAUUCCCGGUGUAGCGGUGAAAUGCGCAGAUAUCGGGAGGAACACCAAUGGCGAAGGCAGCUUGCUGGGACGGUACUGACGCUGAGGCGCGAAAGCGUGGGGAGCAAACAGG